AGUGAUGGUAGAGGAGCAAAAACGAUUAGUAAGGCUUUGGAGGGGAAUGAGCCCCAUUGAAGAUGCCUAAAAGGCGAAUUUGCCGAAGUUUAGAAGGAACUCAGAUCCUUUUAUGCUGGACUUAUGUUAAAUAGGCAUAAGGCUGUCACAUAAUCAACCCAGGGUUAUGUGGAGAACUAUCUCACGU
rnacentral:ncRNA from 2 species